UACGAAGGGGGCUAGCGUUGUUCGGAAUUACUGGGCGUAAAGGGCGCGUAGGCGGCGUGACAAGUCACUUGUGAAAUCUCCGGGCUUAACCCGGAGCGGCCAAGUGAUACUGUCGUGCUAGAGUGCGGAAGGGGCUACUGGAAUUCUCGGUGUAGCGGUGAAAUGCGUAGAUAUCGAGAGGAACACCUGCGGCGAAGGCGGGUAGCUGGGCCGACACUGACGCUGAGGCGCGAAAGCCAGGGGAGCGAACGGG
rnacentral:rRNA from 1 species